AUUGAACGCUGGCGGCAUGCCUUACACAUGCAAGUCGAACGGCAGCACGGACUUCGGUCUGGUGGCGAGUGGCGAACGGGUGAGUAAUGUAUCGGAACGUACCUUUCAGUGGGGGAUAACGUAGCGAAAGUUACGCUAAUACCGCAUAUUCUGUGAGCAGGAAAGCAGGGGAUCGCAAGACCUUGCGCUGAUUGAGCGGCCGAUAUCGAAUUAGCUAGUUGGUGAGGUAAAGGCUCACCAAGGCGACGAUCUGUAGCGGGUCUGAGAGGAUGAUCCGCCACACUGGAACUGAGACACGGUCCAGACUCCUACGGGAGGCAGCAGUGGGGAAGUUUGGACAAUGGGGGAAACCCUGAUCCAGCCAUGCCGCGUGAGUGAAGAAGGCCUUCGGGUUGUAAAGCUCUUUCGGCCGGGAAGAAAUCGCAUAGGUUAAUACCCUGUGUGGAUGACGGUACCGGAAUAAGAAGCACCGGCUAACUACGUGCCAGCAGCCGCGGUAACAC
rnacentral:rRNA from 1 species